UGAAAAUCUAUGACAGCAAUUUUGCCUUUUAGGUACUUUUCUUUUUUCUUUUAUUUAUUUCUUUUAUUUAUGUUUAUUUAUCUUAUUUUAACAGGCUCUGUACUAAUUUUCCUCACAGAAUGACUAGCAGAAAUAUGACCCUUAUGUGCCUUUUGUAAUUAAUUCAUUAGGUCAACUCUAACCACUAAGCCCCUUGUCAGGUUAUUUCUAUUAGCGAUAAGGAGCAAUUGAACCUAAAACAUUGAAGCCAGGUUGAUGAGCCUAUUCCACGAGGUCUCUUGGCUCCACCCUUGUGAGGUGAAAUCUGCCAGGUGGGGGGAUCAUUUGACCUUUGCUAUAUAGGAAGCAUGAGGAGUUAUGGGAAGAAUUGCCACUCCAGGAGAGUUUGAGGUUCAGGUUACUUAGGGUGCUUUUCUACUGUCCUGGUGAAAUGGACUCAGUGUUCCCCAGUAGGCUGCUUUUUCUUCAGGUUCUCUACUAUCUCUGUGAAAUAGUUUUUGAGACUCUAUGAGCUAGUUACAUUGGUGGUGACUUUUCAGUUUUCAGAACAGGAAAACCCUGGUGGUGCUACUUCCCUGUGAAGUAGUUUGGCAGUGACUCAAGUUCAGAAGAUGGCAGUGACGUUACUUACAUGGAUUCUCAGCUGGUCCCCGGUCCUGGUCCCUUCCUCAGAGCAGGCUGCCCAGGUUGGCAUCCAGACAGGCCUUGAAUAUGUCCAGAGAAGGAGACUCCUCAACCACCCUAGGCAACCUGUUCCAAUGCCCUGUCACCCUCACCGUUGGAAGGCUAUUAAUAAGGCUGUGAAAGAAGUUCAAUGAAAAAUGAACAAAAAAGAUGAUGGUUCCAACAUUUGUAGUAUUACCUAGUGUUUAUUUCAAGUCCAAUAUUCUACUUAUUCUAGUGUAACUGUGACUCCAGAUUUCUGUUUGAAUAGUUUUAUACCAGAUUACCAGAUUUCAAUUAAAACAAUGGAAAAUCCAAUGUGCAUUUGCCUGAUUUCAAUCCUUCACCCCCUUCUUUAUGCACACUUUUACUUUGCUAUCUGUCAUGCGAUCCUUCGUGUACCAGUGAAGAAUGAGGUAGGGAAGACCGAAGCUACAUCCUAAGCAAAGAGGAGGAAAAACCCUAGAGACAGAGGAGAAAGGCACAGAAGCAAUGACAGUGGCAGUACCUGAGAGCUUAAAACCAGCAAGAAAGCGUGUGUAUGGCUGUUGAGAGCUAUAGGAAGAUUCAGCCCUCCUGUUGAGGCCAAUGGGAGCUGAAGGAUGAGAUCCAGAGGAAACCGGCCAUAAGAAUGAAGGUGAAAAGUAAAAGGGACUGUGCCAAGCGGGACAUUGCCUACCUCAUUCAGCCUCAGAAAACCAGGAAUCCUCAUAUUUGGGGAUGCAACAUUUGUGUUCAGACCAGAAACGCGAUGCAUGUGUUCACCUAGCUUUCAAUAUUUCCAUCAAAAUACAUUCAGCUUAACGACUUAUUGUUUUUCUCAAACCAAGAGAGCAGACAGGAACAGUAGCAUGAGAAAAACUUUCCAAUUCACUGUGGUGUGUUUGAGCCCAGCAAUCUGAUUUCUGCAAUCAAUUAAUUCUGCUGAAUUCCUGAAGAAGUCAGUAAUUGAAACAAUAACAAAAGCUAAGAUAAAGUUAACAAACAACUGUGUUCAGUCUCAAAAAUUUGCAUAGUCUCUCCAGUAAAUGUGUAAUCUGGACAGUUGCAACAGCUACUGAAAGUUAGUUGUCUAGGCUGAAAGCAGGAGCUUGCUGCAUGUCUAGACAAAACUAGCCUGUGCCUCACAACUGCAUAAUGUUCAAAACAAACACCUCACCCGAGAUCUGCCAACAAAGAAUCAUUCAGAAAAUAAUUUCAAAGAAGAGAUAGCAUUUAAAAAAAAAAAAGGCAAAAAGCUUCCUACUUCAUAAAUAGAAGUCAGGGAGAAAUUAAA